GAUGAACGCUGGCGGCGUGCCUAAUACAUGCAAGUCGAGCGAACGGACGAGAAGCUUGCUUCUCUGAUGUUAGCGGCGGACGGGUGAGUAACACGUGGAUAACCUACCUAUAAGACUGGGAUAACUUCGGGAAACCGGAGCUAAUACCGGAUAAUAUUUUGAACCGCAUGGUUCAAAAGUGAAAGACGGCCUUGCUGUCACUUAUAGAUGGAUCCGCGCUGCAUUAGCUAGUUGGUAAGGUAACGGCUUACCAAGGCAACGAUGCAUAGCCGACCUGAGAGGGUGAUCGGCCACACUGGAACUGGGACACGGUCCAGACUCCUACGGGAGGCAGCAGUAGGGAAUCUUCCGCAAUGGGCGAAAGCCUGACGGAGCAACGCCGCGUGAGUGAUGAAGGUCUUCGGAUCGUAAAACUCUGUUAUUAGGGAAGAACAUAUGUGUAAGUAACUGUGCACAUCUUGACGGUACCUAAUCAGAAAGCCACGGCUAACUACGUG
rnacentral:rRNA from 1 species